CUUAUUAAGAGUGGUGGAGGGAAUGGGCCCUGUGAAACCCGGCAACCUGUAUAAUGCAAAGGUGCUAAAUCCCACAGAAUAUAAUUCUGAAAGAUGAGG
rnacentral:ncRNA from 1 species